AAGCAACAAUUUCGACCGCAGCAUCGACAGUAGUAACAGUAGCGGCGACAACAGUAGCAGCAAUAACAGCAGCAGCAACAACAGCAGCAGCAGCAGCAGUAUAGCUGCAGCAAGCACGGGGAAAGUGCAUAGCUGCAUGAAGUUAUAUUGCUGCUGAUGUAAAUUUUACACACCAGGAAAGAUAAUUUUCUAGCAGAUAUAAAAACAGCGAUAAAUUUUGUCUGUGACAUUUAAAACUCGGAUCAGCAGUGCGAUUUUGCAACUUAUUAACGACAAUAACCUUAGCACUGUGUGUCGUUGCGUAUCUUUAUUAGCAUAUGCUAUAGCAUUUGCUGUGCAAUGUUAACUACAACUCGUUAACGACAGCAGUUAACGAGUUACAGAAUCGUAUUGCAGCAAAACAUUUUUUUUUACCGAAAAGCUUACCGAGGUCGGUCCGGUAAACACGCAUCGAUUAUCCGGCGCGAAUCCCACUUUAAAAUCCGCUUCUUCUGCGGAUUUGUGUCUAAUCUAAAGGAGUAUAUAUUUACGAAUAAAGACUACUUCCGUAUUAGCCCACGACACGAUUUUGCGAAUAUCGACAUGAGUAACGAGGUCAUAUGUACGAUCGCGUACAUAAAGAGAGAGAGAGAGAGAGAGAGAAAGAGAGAGGAGGGGAAGGAGAGAGAAAGAGUGGGAGAGAGAGAGGGGGGAGAGAGAGAGAGGCGAAAUGGCGCGUCGACCCGACCGCAAGGGACCGUGCGGAUGCGAAACGAAAACGGAUGUUGCGGCCUUGAUGAGUUCGCACUGUGGCGAAUACGCGACUUUCGUGCAUUAAUGAAGUCGAUUCGGGAAGGACGACUCGGGAAGGACAUGGCAUCGGCGACGAUGGCAGGGGCGGAUAGAGACGGGCCGCGUAGGAAAAACGCGGCACAUCCGCGCGAGACACGCCUGAAAAAUUCGGGAGAAAGCAGAACUCGUUUCGAUCUCUGUCAGAAAAUUUGCCGGGUGUCGCAACGGCGUCUCACGUAAUAGCUAGGUAAGUCGGUGCGCGCGGCCGCGCGCGCACGACACGUGUAGACGUGGAGAUUGUCAAGAUUUUUUCAGCAAGACGACGCCGGCGGAUGAAUCCCGCUAGAGCAAUUCAACGAUCGAUCGAUGUAACUGAGCAUCGGCUGCGUCGAGUCGAUGAUUACUCGCGUGGCGAACUCUCGCUAAUCGCGCAAGUCCGUACGCGCGCGAUUCAAGAUUACAAGGAGAGCGCGAGGUGCAUUCUUUUUGUAUUUCGCGCAUGGAUUAUACAACAGCUUUUACCAAUUGCGUUGUAUAUAGUAACCGGCAGCGGUGGUUAGGCAAAAACUAACCGAGUUGACUCGGUCUACGAUCCCACGAUCGCGCUCCAUCGACGCGGCGACCGUACGAUAAUAACGUUUGUUAAUUAGACGAUUCCGCGAGGUCAGGAACCAAUGAGAAAUUCCAGCCUACCGUUCGACAGCGCAUAUUACUCGUGUGCGUGAAUGAUGAACUUUAACCGUCACAAGUACGCGACGAUUCAAGGUUCUACAAAAUAAUUCACAAAAGGUCAAUUGUAAGGUAACAGACCUAAUUAUGAAGGAUUUUAAGAGGAUACCAUAUUCGGUAACUUUGCCAUUUUCUGCAAAGUUUACGUUCCAUUGGUUGCACAGAAUUACAAGCGCGUUUAUGUAAUAAACAUGAAAAAGUGAAUUGAAGUAUUGUUCAAUUUGUGACAAAAAUGAUAAACAGUUUUAAAAUUUA